AAGACCUUGCACUUUUGGAGCGGCCGAUGUCUGAUUAGCUAGUUGGUGGGGUAAAGGCCUACCAAGGCAUCGAUCAGUAGCUGGUCUGAGAGGACGACCAGCCACACUGGGACUGAGACACGGCCCAGACUCCUACGGGAGGCAGCAGUGGGGAAUUUUGGACAAUGGGCGCAAGCCUGAUCCAGCCAUGCCGCGUGAGUGAAGAAGGCCUUCGGGUUGUAAAGCUCUUUCAGUCGGGAAGAAAAGGUUGCGACUAAUAAUCGUGAUCAAUGACGGUACCGAAAGAAGAAGCACCGACUAACUACGUGCCAGCAGCCGCGGUAAUACGUAGGGUGCGAGCGUUAAUCGGAAUUACUGGGCGUAAAGGGUGCGCAGGCGGUUUUGUAAGUCAGAUGUGAAAUCCCCGGGCUUAACCUGGGAACU
rnacentral:rRNA from 1 species